UACGAAGGGGGCUAGCGUUGCUCGGAAUCACUGGGCGUAAAGGGUGCGUAGGCGGGUUUUUAAGUCAGAGGUGAAAUCCUGGAGCUCAACUCCAGAACUGCCUUUGAUACUGAGAAUCUUGAGUAUGGGAGAGGUGAGUGGAACUGCGAGUGUAGAGGUGAAAUUCGUAGAUAUUCGCAAGAACACCAGCGGCGAAGGCGGCCCACUGGCCCGAUACUGACGCUGAGGCACGAAAGCGUGGGGAGCAAACAGG
rnacentral:rRNA from 1 species